rnacentral:hammerhead_ribozyme from 1 species
AUCCAACUGACGAGUCCCAGACAGGAUGGAACGUGAGUCUUGGAU